UUAGGAAAAGAGAAUGUUUGUUGGAAAUUGACAAUUUAUAAAAGACUCGCUAAUUUAUUCACUAAACUUGUUAGCUAUGCUAAACUAAGCCUUGAAAUCUACUACUUUUUUAAAGAAGUUGUCUCUUAUUAAAACGUUUUCAAAUUCCUUAAAUUUUGUAAAAUUCAAUGUUACAUGUACUAGUAAUAAACUCAACGAUUGAAUACUUUGAGCGUCUGAUGUUGAGUUUUCAAUUUCAAUUUUAAUUUUUUUUUCAAAAACCCAAAUCAAGUAAAAAAACAACAACAAGUGAUAUGAAAAUCUGCGCGAUAUUAAGAAAUGCAGAAACUAUCCAAGUUGUCCAUUGACGGAAGUCUUGUUUUUAUACUUUCCAAUUCGAAGUUCCAUUCAAGUUCCAUUCAAGUUUCAUUCAAGUUUCGUGUCGUUACUCGGGACCAGUCAAAUUUUCCACUUGGCCCUGCACUUUAUCGCUGGAGAGGGGAUGAAAUGUUUCCCCUGUUUGGCGGAUUCAUUCCUUAUCUGUCCCGGAGCGCUUGGCUUCCCGACAUCUUGCACCAUCUGUGGGGCAUUAGCGCCUAAUGGACCCGGAGCUUCUCGUUACACGUUAUACGACCAACAUCCCAGAUACUCUCAGACACCAGCAAUCUAUCCAGCGCGGAUUAAAAAAAUACAGAUGCAACUUUCAUGAUGUUAUUUGCCACUUAGUCCUGAUUUCCUUAAUUGGCUUUUUUUUUAAAUGAAUAAUAAAAAAACAUAAAGAUUUGCUCGUAUUGGUAUCAUGAGUCUUUAAUAUAGAAGAUCAAUUAAAGUGAAAAUUAACGAAAAAGCUUAAAAUAAAUUUCGAGAUAUUUAAUGCACAAUUCCUAACAUGAUGCUUUGUAUCAUUUUGAUGAUCUUUAAAGUGCCUUCACAAGAGUUGUGUUGUAUAGUAAUAAAUUGCGCCAUUACAUGCAAGCUACGAUGCCAGGGAAACCAGUAUUUCAAGGGGUUGUUUGGACAGAUGCCUGGGACAGAACUAUAUGACAUUACCUGUAUACAAUAGAUGCAGGUGUGGCACUGUCGUAUUGAUCAAAGUCAGGAAUGAGAUGUCGGCGGGAGGCAGCUUCUGUUACACGAAAUGUACUUUAAACUGGAACAAAUGACAUGUUAAUCUUCCUCAGAAACUUUGAGGUUUUUUGAUGAUAAAAAAUAAUAUUUUAGGUAACUUUUUGUUUCUUUUAGUAAUUAAGAUUUUAGGUAAUUAAAAUAUUUGUAAUUUUUGUGUUUUGAUAUUGUAGUUGUAAGUUUAUUUCAAGAGAAUAAAAUUCUGCUAAUGC
rnacentral:sRNA from 1 species